CGCGGUAACGACGGUAACGGGGAAUCAGGGUUCGAUUCCGGAGAGGGAGCCCGAGAAACGGCUACCACUUCCAAGGAAGGCAGCAGGCGCGCAACUUACCCUAAUCUCGAUUCGAGGAGGUAGUGACAAGAAAUACCGAUGCGGGACCCUACGGGUGCCGCGUUCGGAAUGAGUACGAUUCGAACCACCUAACGAGGAACGAUCGGAGGGCAAGUCUGGUGCCAGCAGCCGCGGUAAUUCCAGCUCCAAUAGCGUACGUUAAAGUUGCUGCAGUUAAAAAGCUCGUAGUUGAACGUUCGGGUUCCGCGGGACGGGGCCGCCCCGCGAGGGACGGCGCCGCCCCGGGGCUCGUGAUAUCUUAUCUCGCCGCCCGUCGCGAGGCGGACGGAGGGAUGGAUGAGGUUACCUGGUUGAUCCUGCCAGUAGUCAUAUGCUUGUCUCAAAGACUAAGCCAUGCAUGUGUUAGUAUGAACUGAAUUUAUAUAGUGAAACUGCGAAUGGCUC
rnacentral:rRNA from 1 species